CCUUCAGAUAGCAGUAUGGGUUAUUUAAAGCUGUAUGAAGUGCAAUCCUUGGGGCAGCAUUCAAGUGCCCACGGAGAACACUGGCUGUGUUGAAAUACACUAUCUCAUGCAGAGUCUUGUGGUCUGCAGGAACAAGAUUGAGAACUGCAGGAAAAAUGAUAUCAUGUAUUAGGAAAAAUAAAUUAUUAACCGCUGCUACUGAAUUUACCAGAUGGCAUCUCAUUAUUACUGGCCUCCCAUGAAAGUAUAUAUAACACUUCUGCAAAACUGCACUGGAAAUUUCUGGUAGCUGCAUUAAAGUACUUUGGGCUCGUUACAUUUAAGUUUGUGAAUUAGAAUAUCUUCUCUCACCUGUCUUCACUCAAAGAUAAAGAGGAAAAAAACCCACAGGAUUCUCUACAUAGUUUAUUGCCAUUUUGCUUGACUCUGAGCAAACUAUUCCAAAUGGAAACAGAAAAAUAAAACAAGCCACUGAAGUUCUCUAAAGUUCAACUGAAACAAAGGGUAUCAAAGAUUAAGGAAAAAAAAAACCCAAAACCAAAACCUUAUCUGCAGGCAACAUGAGGAAGUACUGACACAUGGAAAGAGUAAAUGUAACUCCUGCACUGCUGCACAGCUGCUUGGAGCACAAGCACCACCUACUCGGAGGCACAAAGUAAGUGACCGUACAGCUCCUAUUUCCCUGAACAGGGAAGAAUCGAGCAUCCAGAAACUGUGCCAGAAGACUUCAAGCGGGGAAGAGACACUACUAUAGCCUACUCACACCAUGACAAACUGGAGUACAAGGACCUGGUGCAGAGGAUCAGAGCUGAAGAGUUCUGCCAGGGCUGUUAGAAGCCACAAGCUAACAUAUAGCAAAAUAUAGGUCUUUCUACCCACUAAGGCAGGUUACUCAUUUAAAUGUAAACUUUAAAUAUAUUUUUUUUUGCGGCAGAGUAAGCUUUUACAUGCUUCUUCAUACCUGUCCUACAAGUUUUCCCUUAAAACCUUAGCAGUUAAGCUUUUAACUUUAAAACACCCACCUGUUCACUGAUCCAAACUGUUUGCAAAGGACAUUUUUUCAUCCAAUUCAGUGAAAGCAAGAUUAGGACCUAAGAAAUCUUACAAUGCCUAGUAAUUACCCAUUGUUUUCACAACCAUAAUUUGAGUUCUUGUUACCA